rnacentral:rRNA from 1 species
GUGGCGGACGGGUGAGUAACGCGUGGGUAACCUACCCUCGUACAGGGGGAGUAACAGUCAGAAAUAGACUGCUAAUACCGCAUAAGACCACAGCACCGCAUGGUGCAGGGGUAAAAAACUACCGGUGGUACAGGAUGGACCCGCGUCUGAUUAGCUGGUUGGUGAGGUAACGGCUCACCAAGGCGACGAUCAGUAGCCGGCUUGAGAGAGUGAACGGCCACAUUGGGACUGAGACACGGCCCAAACUCCUACGGGAGGCAGCAUG